GUUUUUUUUUUUUUUCCAGUUAAAGCAGAGCAUCACUCUAUAAAACAUCUAUUGACAAUGUUUCCAGAAAAAGGGCAGCUCAGAACGACAAUCAAACGCCAGUAGCACAGCAAUAGUUUCAACAAGUAAUCGCCAACCACACAAUAGUGCCUUCUCGUAAAAAAGUGAAUCCCAGCUCUUCACUGUUAUUUAGUUACAUUGUUCAAUAGCCCAUCUCACUAAGUUAUACAGGUUACUCAAAACAUUAUCAAAUCUCACCGUUUUCAGAAUCUUACCAUCAUCCCAUCCACCAUAUUUAUCAAGUAAUUCUCCUAACUGCUGCUUUUGACAAUGUCCGUCCAUAUAAUUAAAUUCUAUUGAACAUAACAUGAAUAUACCUAAGAAGAGCGGAGCAUGUUAGUCCUCUCGUUUAAUGUAGUAAAGUAAAAACUCACC
rnacentral:misc_RNA from 1 species